ACGCUGGCGGCGUGCUUAACACAUGCAAGUCGAACGGAAAGGCCCUGCUUUUGUGGGGUGCUCGAGUGGCGAACGGGUGAGUAACACGUGAGUAACCUGCCCUUGACUUUGGGAUAACUUCAGGAAACUGGGGCUAAUACCGGAUAGGAGCUCCUGCUGCAUGGUGGGGGUUGGAAAGUUUCGGCGGUUGGGGAUGGACUCGCGGCUUAUCAGCUUGUUGGUGGGGUAGUGGCUUACCAAGGCUUUGACGGGUAGCCGGCCUGAGAGGGUGACCGGCCACAUUGGGACUGAGAUACGGCCCAGACUCCUACGGGAGGCAGCAGUGGGGAAUAUUGCACAAUGGGCGGAAGCCUGAUGCAGCAACGCCGCGUGCGGGAUGACGGCCUUCGGGUUGUAAACCGCUUUCGCCUGUGACGAAGCGUGAGUGACGGUAAUGGGUAAAGAAGCACCGGCUAACUACGUGCCAGCAGCCGCGGUGAUACGUAGGGUGCGAGCGUUGUCCGGAUUUAUUGGGCGUAAAGGGCUCGUAGGUGGUUGAUCGCGUCGGAAGUGUAAUCUUGGGGCUUAACCCUGAGCGUGCUUUCGAUACGGGUUGACUUGAGGAAGGUAGGGGAGAAUGGAAUUCCUGGUGGAGCGGUGGAAUGCGCAGAUAUCAGGAGGAACACCAGUGGCGAAGGCGGUUCUCUGGGCCUUUCCUGACGCUGAGGAGCGAAAGCGUGGGGAGCGAACAGGCUUAGAUACCCUGGUAGUCCACGCUGUAAACGGUGGGUACUAGGUGUGGGGUCCAUUCCACGGGUUCCGUGCCGUAGCUAACGCUUUAAGUACCCCGCCUGGGGAGUACGGCCGCAAGGCUAAAACUCAAAGGAAUUGACGGGGCCCCGCACAAGCGGCGGAGCAUGCGGAUUAAUUCGAUGCAACGCGUAGAACCUUACCUGGGUUUGACAUGGAUCGGGAGCGCUCAGAGAUGGGUGUGCCUCUUUUGGGGUCGGUUCACAGGUGGUGCAUGGCUGUCGUCAGCUCGUGUCGUGAGAUGUUGGGUUAAGUCCCGCAACGAGCGCAACCCUUGUUCACUGUUGCCAGCACGUUAUGGUGGGGACUCAGUGGAGACCGCCGGGGUCAACUCGGAGGAAGGUGGGGAUGACGUCAAGUCAUCAUGCCCCUUAUGUCCAGGGCUUCACGCAUGCUACAAUGGCUGGUACAGAGAGUGGCGAGCCUGUGAGGGUGAGCGAAUCUCGGAAAGCCGGUCUCAGUUCGGAUUGGGGUCUGCAACUCGACCUCAUGAAGUCGGAGUCGCUAGUAAUCGCAGAUCAGCAACGCUGCGGUGAAUACGUUCCCGGGGCUUGUACACACCGCCCGUCAAGUCAUGAAAGUUGGUAACACCCGAAGCCGGUGGCCUAACCGUUGUGGGGGAGCCGUCGAAGGUGGGACUGGUGAUUAGG
rnacentral:rRNA from 1 species